UACAGAGGUCCCAAGCGUUGUUCGGAUUCAUUGGGCGUAAAGGGUGCGUAGGUGGCGCGCUAAGUCAGGUGUGAAAUCUAUGGGCUCAACCCAUAGUCUGCAUCGGAAACUGUCGGGCUUGAGUAUGGGAGAGGUGAGUGGAAUUUCCGGUGUAGCGGUGAAAUGCGUAGAUAUCGGAAGGAACACCUGUGGCGAAAGCGGCUCACUGGACCAUUACUGACGCUGAGGCACGAAAGCUAGGGGAGCAAACAGG
rnacentral:rRNA from 1 species